rnacentral:rRNA from 1 species
GGACUACUCGGGUAUCUAAUCCUGUUUGCUCCCCACGCUUUCGCGUCUCAGCGUCAGUCACCGUCCAGAAGGCCGCCUUCGCCACCGGUAUUCCGCUUGAUAUCUACGAAUUUCACCUCUACACCAAGCAUUCUACCUUCCUCUCCGGGACUCCAGCUGCGCAGUUUCGGGUGCACUUCCAUGGUUGAGCCAUGGGAUUUCACAUCCGACUUGCGUAGCCGCCUACACGCGCUUUACGCCCAGUAAUUCCGAACAACGUUUGCACCCUCUGUCUUACCGCGGCUGCUGGCAC